UACGGAGGGUGCAAGCGUUAUCCGGAUUCACUGGGUUUAAAGGGUGCGUAGGAGGGCAGGGAAGUCAGUGGUGAAAUCUCCGGGGCUUAACUCGGAAACUGCCGUUGAUACUCUCUGUCUUGAAUCCCGUGGAGGUGAGCGGAAUAUGUCAUGUAGCGGUGAAAUGCUUAGAUAUGACAUAGAACACCAAUUGCGAAGGCAGCUCGCUACACGAAGAUUGACUCUGAGGCACGAAAGCGUGGGGAUCAAACAGGGA
rnacentral:rRNA from 1 species